UUAGAGUUUGAUCCUGGCUCAGGAUGAACGCUGGCGGCGUGCCUAACACAUGCAAGUCGAACGAGAAGUCUUUUAAUGAUUCCUUCGGGAAGAUUUAAGAGAUGGACAGUGGCGGACGGGCGAGUAACGCGUGAGUAACCUGCCCAUAAGUGAGGGAUAGCCCAUGGAAACGUGGAGUAAUACCUCAUAUUGUAUAUUAGUUGCAUGACUGAUAUAUGAAAGAUUUAUCGCUUAUGGAUGGACUCGCGUCUGAUUAGAUAGUUGGUGAGGUAACGGCUCACCAAGUCGACGAUCAGUAGCCGAACUGAGAGGUUGAUCGGCCGCAUUGGGACUGAGACACGGCCCAGACUCCUACGGGAGGCAGCAGUGGGGAAUAUUGCGCAAUGGGGGGAACCCUGACGCAGCAACGCCGCGUGCAGGAAGAAGGUCUUCGGAUUGUAAACUGUUGUCGCAAGGGAAGAAGACAGUGACGGUACCUUGUGAGAAAGUCACGGCUAACUACGUGCCAGCAGCCGCGGUAAUACGUAGGUGGCGAGCGUUAUCCGGAAUUACUGGGUGUAAAGGGUGUGUAGGCGGGGAGGCAAGUCAGAUGUGAAAACCAAAAGCUCAACUUUUGGCCUGCAUUUGAAACUGUAGCCCUUGAGUAUCGGAGAGGCAAGCGGAAUUCCUAGUGUAGCGGUGAAAUGCGUAGAUAUUAGGAGGAACACCAGUGGCGAAGGCGGCUUGCUGGACGACAACUGACGCUGAGGCGCGAAAGCGUGGGGAGCAAACAGGAUUAGAUACCCUGGUAGUCCACGCUGUAAACGAUGAAUACUAGGUGUGGGAGGACUGACCCCUUCCGUGCCGCAGUUAACACAAUAAGUAUUCCACCUGGGGAGUACGACCGCAAGGUUGAAACUCAAAGGAAUUGACGGGGGCCCGCACAAGCAGCGGAGCAUGUGGUUUAAUUCGACGCAACGCGAAGAACCUUACCAGGUCUUGACAUCGCGGUAAACUUGUAGAAAUACAAGGUGGCUUCGGCCGACCAAAGACAGGUGGUGCAUGGUUGUCGUCAGCUCGUGUCGUGAGAUGUUGGGUUAAGUCCCGCGACGAGCGCAACCCUUGCCAUUAGUUGCUACGCGAGAGCACUCUAAUGGGACCGCUACCGACAAGGUGGAGGAAGGUGGGGAUGACGUCAAAUCAUCAUGCCCCUUAUGACCUGGGCUACACACGUAAUACAAUGGCCAUCAACAGAGGGUCGCAAUACCGUGAGGUGGAGCCAAUCCCUAAAAAUGGUCUCAGUUCGGAUCGCAGGCUGCAACCCGCCUGCGUGAAGCUGGAAUUGCUAGUAAUCGCGGAUCAGCGUGCCGCGGUGAAUACGUUCCCGGGCCUUGUACACAGCGCCCGUCA
rnacentral:rRNA from 1 species